rnacentral:rRNA from 1 species
GUAAAUAAUUAAGGGCGUAUGGUGGAUGCCUAGGCUCUCAGAGGCGAUGAAGGACGUGAUAAGCUGCGAAAAGCUCCGUUUAGGUGCAAAUAACCUUUGAUGCGGAGAUCUCCGAAUGGGAUAACCCAAUAUGUUGAAGACAUAUUAUACCGUAAGGUAGGCAAACGCAGGGAACUGAAACAUCUAAGUACCUGCAGGAGAAGAAAACAAACGUGAUUCCCCCAGUAGCGGCGAGCGACCGGGGAAAAGCCCAAACCGUUAUUGUUUCGGCAUUAACGGGGUAGUAGGACUGCAAGCUUGAUGAAAUAAAUGAAAUGGAACACCUUGGAAAAUGUGAUCAUAGAGGGUGAUAAUCCCGUACAUGCAAGUUUAUGAAUCAUAGCAGUAUCCUGAGUAAGUCGGGACACGUGUAAUCCUGACCGAAUCCGCCGGGACCAUCCGGCAAGGCUAAAUACUCCUGAGAGACCGAUAGUGAACCAGUACCGUGAGGGAAAGGUGAAAAGCACUUCGAACAGAAGAGUGAAAUAGUUCCUGAACCCAUACGCCUACAAGCUGUCGGAGCCGCUUCGUGCGGUGACGGCGUGCCUUUUGCAUAAUGAGCCUACGAGUUACUCAUCACCAGCGAGGUUAAGUACUUCAGGUACGUAAGCCGAAGCGAAAGCGAGUCUGAAUAGGGCGUCAAGUUGGUGGUGGUAGACGCGAAACCUUAGUGAUCUACCCAUGGGCAGGGUGAAGGUUUGGUAACACAAACUGGAGGCCCGAACCGGUAAACGUUGAAAAGUUUUCGGAUGACCUGUGGGUAGGGGUGAAAGGCCAAUCAAACUGGGAAAUAGCUCGUACUCUCCGAAAUGCAUUUAGGUGCAGCCUCUGUUGUUUUGUUCUAGAGGUAGAGCUACUGAUUGGAUGCGAGGGCUUCACCGCCUAUCAAAUCCGGCCAAACUCCGAAUGCUAGAACAUGAAGACAGGGAGUGAGCCAGCGGGUGCUAAGGUCCGUUGACGAAAGAGGGAGAACUCAGACCAUCAGCUAAGGUCCCCAAUUGUAUGCUAAGUUGGAAUUAAAACGGGGUGGGACUGCUUAGACAGCUAGGAUGUUGGCUUGGAAGCAGCCAUUCAUUUAAAGAGUGCGUAACAGCUCACUAGUCGAGCGGUCCUGCAUGGAUAAUACGCGGGCAUAAGCAUAUAACCGAAGCUAUGGGAUUGUAGAUGAUACAAUCGGUAGGAGAGCAUUCCAUUCAGCAUAGAAGCAGUAUCGUGAGGUAUUGUGGAGCGGAUGGAAAAGCAAAUGUAGGCAUAAGUAACGAUAAUGCGGGUGAGAACCCCGCACGCCGAAAGAUCAAGGAUUCCCCGGCAAUGUCAAUCAUCCGGGGGUAAGUCGGAUCCUAAGGGUAAGCCGAGUGGCGAUCCCGAUGGCAAACAGGUUAAUAUUCCUGUACUGAUCAUAACUGCGAUGCAGCGACGCAGAGGUGACACUGCUGCGUACUGACGGAAUAGUACGUUGAAACCCGUAUUCUUUGAUACCGGUAGUGAAGCACGCCGGUAGAGAUGAAAGGUGAUAGUACCGCAAUGCUUCGGUUGCGCGGAUAACGCAGGUAAGCUGACUGCCAAGAAAACCUGCUAAGCUUCAGGUAAUGAUCAUCCGUACUGUAAACGGACACACGUGAUCAGGUAGAAAAUACUAAGGCGCUCGAGAGAUUCAUGGUUAAGGAACUAGGCAAAAUGGUCCUGUAACUUCGGGAUAAAGGACGCUCUUGUGAAAGAGCCGCAGAUAAUAGGCCCAGGCGACUGUUUACCAAAAACACAUGGCUAUGCUAAUUCGCAAGAAGAUGUAUAUGGCCUGACACCUGCCCGGUGCCGGAAGGUUAAGAGGAGAGCUCAGAGGUAACUCGAAGGUUUGAAUUGAAGCCCCGGUAAACGGCGGCCGUAACUAUAACGGUCCUAAGGUAGCGAAAUUCCUUGUCGGG